rnacentral:rRNA from 1 species
UACGAAGGGGGCUAGCGUUGCUCGGAAUCACUGGGCGUAAAGCGCACGUAGGCGGCUUUUUAAGUCAGGGGUGAAAUCCUGGAGCUCAACUCCAGAACUGCCUUUGAUACUGAGAAGCUUGAGUCCGGAAGAGGUGAGUGGAACUGCGAGUGUAGAGGUGAAAUUCGUAGAUAUUCGCAAGAACACCAGUGGCGAAGGCGGCUCACUGGUCCGGUACUGACGCUGAGGUGCGAAAGCGUGGGGAGCAAACAGG